rnacentral:rRNA from 1 species
AUGACUCAGCCGCUCGUCUACCGCCCCGACGAUGACCUUAAGAAGGAUCUAAUGAACACGGCCAUCGACGGCAACCUUGGUCUCCUCAAAGGUAUUAUAAAGAAUCUUACCAAAGAAAAGGGUGACCCAUCGGCGAUUUUUUCUUUCAACAUCAAAGGAUAUUCUGUGUUGCACACGGCGGCAUGUUUUGCGCAACUGGAGGUUUGCAAGUAUUUGGUGGAGGAGCUUAAUGGAGAUGUAAAUGCUCCUGGAUAUGGAGCUGGUGCUCUAGGGGGUGCAACUCCAUUUAUGUUGUCAGCCUCGUCUGAUGAUGUUGCUACCGUCAAGUAUUUUCUUGAUCAUGGUGGUGAUAUAUUGAAAGCAGAUGACAAAGGACGCACAGUUCUCCACCAUGCUGUGGCUGCAGGAUGCUGCAAGGUGACAGAGUUCCUCCUUUCAAAAGUAGUUCCAGUCGACAUAAACUAUGGCCAUGGAACACCAGCAUUCGUGGCUGCUGCAAAUGGGAAGGAUAACACACUGAAGAUUUUGUUGGAUCACAACGCAAAUCCUAAUAUCAUUGUCACCAGUUUGGGAAGUCCGUUGUUUAUGGCUCUUACUCAGCGUUCACUCAAAUGCAUGGAGACACUCGUUGAGGCUGGUGCCGAUAUUAACUGCAAGGGUUGCGCCAUGUCUCCAUUGGUAUAUGCUACAAUGCGAGAAGGUUGUACCAACUUCAUUCGGUUUCUGUUGAAGGCUGGAGCAGAUCCUAAUACCCUCGAUGAUUUGGGUAGGUUGCCGGUAGUGCUUGCUGCAGUACGUGAUUGCAUGGAAGAGGUUGAAAUGCUGUUUCCUUUAACUUCCCCAAUUCCAAAUGUCCCAAACUAG